rnacentral:sRNA from 1 species
UUCAUCGAGUUAUUAUAAAAAUUUCUUCCUUGGUUCGUUUUAAUUUUCUUCUUGAUUUACGUUAUUGUAUUUGCCAAAAUUUGAUGGGAGAAGAGAGCGAUGAUUAUAAAAAAACAAGAUUAAAAUUCUGAUCUGCUCUAUUACUGGGCAUGAUAGACUCAUAUACACCCAUAGAAUAUGAGCUCUCUUCUCAAUCAUCUAUUUUUGUUUUCCAAAAGACUUUAUCAAUAAGCAUUGUCUGGAUUAAUUGAACAACUUGUAAUUUUAUCAAAUUAGUUUCGUAAUUGAACAUCUCAAGAAUUUCAAUUGGAUUAAUAAAUUUUAGGUUUUGUUGAUGAUAAAAACAACUUAAGACAAGUGGUAAAAUUUUCCGUAACCAGAACAAGGCUAAUAAAUAAGUGGACAUAUCUCUGUGACGGUUUGACCUAUCAUAUGAAUAACCUGUAACUUAUUUUUCUUGCAAUGGACUUUUAAAUAAGAACUAGAAUAAGACCAAGACUAUGUUCACUUGGUUGCGUUGUUAAUAAGAUGUUAAAACGAAGUUUAUGUAUAAAAAAAUUGACAGAACAUAACUACAUUUCAAACUCCAAACUUACGAAAACACACAAGUUUUUUCUGGAAUCUUUCAAGUUUUAUUUGAUGUUUCGGAAGAACUAAAUUGGGGUUUUAUCUAGUGGUAGACAAAAAGGAAAAAGAUG